rnacentral:tRNA from 1 species
UGCCCCGUGGCUGAGUUGGUUACAGCGGUUGACUGUUAGUUAUUAAUAAUUAAUUAAUCUAAUUAAUUACUAUUACGUAAUAGAUCAGACGGUCGAGAGUUCGAGUCUCUCCGGGGCAG